GGCACGGUGGCGGAGUGGUUACGCAGCGGUCUGCAAAACCGCUUUACGCCGGUUCGAAUCCGGCCCGUGCCUCAA
rnacentral:tRNA from 1 species